rnacentral:rRNA from 1 species
UUUGGUGGCGAUAGCGAAGAGGUCACACCCGUUCCCAUGCCGAACACGGAAGUUAAGCUCUUCAGCGCCGAUGGUAGUCGGGGGU